GCCGAGGUGAUAAAAUUGGCAACUAAAAGGGUUUCAGGUACCUGUGGCCAAUAGGCCGUGGAAGUUCGAGUCUUCUCCUGGGCACCA
rnacentral:tRNA from 1 species